CCUACGGGCGGCAGCAGUGGGGGAUAUUGCACAAUGGGCGAAACCCUGAUGCAGCGACGCCGCGUGGGGGAAUGAAGGUCUUCGGAUUGUAAACCCCUGUCAUGUGGGAGCAAAUUAAAAAGAUAGUACCACAAGAGGAAGAGACGGCUAACUCUGUGCCAGCAGCCGCGGUAAUACAGAGGUCUCAAGCGUUGUUCGGAAUCACUGGGCGUAAAGCGUGCGUAGGCUGUUUCGUAAGUCGUGUGUGAAAGGCGGGGGCUCAACCCGCGGACGGCACAUGAUACUGCGAGACUAGAGUAUGGAGGGGGAACCGGAAUUCUCGGUGUAGCAGUGAAAUGCGUAGAUAUCGAGAGGAACACUCGUGGCGAAGGCGGGUUCCUGGACAUUAACUGACGCUGAGGCACGAAGGCCAGGGGAGCGAAAGGGAUUAGAUACCCGGGUAGUC
rnacentral:rRNA from 1 species